AUUGAACGCUGGCGGCAUGCCUUACACAUGCAAGUCGAACGGCAGCACGGGUGCUUGCACCUGGUGGCGAGUGGCGAACGGGUGAGUAAUACAUCGGAACAUGUCCUGUAGUGGGGGAUAGCCCGGCGAAAGCCGGAUUAAUACCGCAUACGAUCUACGGAUGAAAGCGGGGGACCUUCGGGCCUCGCGCUAUAGGGUUGGCCGAUGGCUGAUUAGCUAGUUGGUGGGGUAAAGGCCUACCAAGGCGACGAUCAGUAGCUGGUCUGAGAGGACGACCAGCCACACUGGGACUGAGACACGGCCCAGACUCCUACGGGAGGCAGCAGUGGGGAAUUUUGGACAAUGGGCGAAAGCCUGAUCCAGCAAUGCCGCGUGUGUGAAGAAGGCCUUCGGGUUGUAAAGCACGUUUGUCCGGAAAGAAAUCCUUGGCUCUAAUACAGUCGGGGGAUGACGGUACCGGAAGAAUAAGCACCGGCUAACUACGUG
rnacentral:rRNA from 1 species